AUGAAGCUGGAUUCGCUAGUAAUCGCGCAUCAGCCAUGGCGCGGUGAAUACGUUCCCGGGCCUUGUACACACCGCCCGUCAAGCCAUGAAAGCCGGGGGCGCCUGAAGUCCGUGACCGCGAGGGUCGGCCUAGGGUGAAACCGGUGAUUGGGGCUAAGUCGUAACAAGGUACC
rnacentral:rRNA from 1 species